ensembl:lncRNA
GAGAGUAGAGAGAGAGAGAGAGUAGAGAGAGAGAUUAAAGAGUAGAGAGUAGAGAGAGAGAGUAGAGAGAGAGAGUAGAGAGAGAGAGUAGAGAGUAGAGAGAGAGAGUAGAGAGAGAAUUCACCAUCAAUAGACACUGAUGUCCUUAUGUACAACAGGAUAUAAGGGAGAGAGAGAGUAGAGAGAGAGAGUAGAGAGAGAGAGUAGAGAGUAGAGAGUAGAGAGUAGAGUAGAGAGAGAGUAGAGAGAGAGACUAAAGAGUAGAGAGUAGAGAGAGAGAGUAGAGAGAGAGAGUAGAGAGAGUAGAGAUAGAGAGAGAGAGUAGAGAGAGAGAGUAGAGAGAGAGAGUAGAGAGAAUUCACCAUCAAUAGACACUGAUGUCCUUAUAUACAACAGGAUAUAAGGGAGAGAGAGAGGAGAGAGAGAGAGUAGAGAGAGAGAGUAGAGAGAGUGUAGAGAGAGAGAGUAGAGAGUAGAGAGAGAGAGUAGAGAGAGAAUUCACCAUCAAUAGACACCGAUGUCCUUAUAUACAACAGGAUAUAAGGGAGAGAGAGAGUAGAGAGAGAGAGUAGAGAGUAGAGAGAGAGAGUAGAGAGAGAGAGUAGAGAGUAGAGAGUAGAGAGAGAGAAGAGAGAGUAGAGAGUAGAGUAGAGAGAGAGAGUAGAGAGAGUAGAGAUAGAGAG